GGCAAAUGGCUCCAAGAAAUAGUCUAAACUUGUUGUCACCUUUUUUUUGUCUUUCAUUUACUCUAAAAUAUUUUUCUUUAUUCUUUUCAUCCUUUUAAAUUCAUAGCAGCCAGACUUCUGACCUGCUGCUCCAUUGAAAUGGCUCUAGCAAAGUUCAAGGAUAACCUCCCAUUUCCCAAAUCCAGGGAACUCUUUUAUCGUAUUUAAUCUUGUCAUUUGAAACUUUUGUCCACUGUCUCGGCACUUCCUCAUUUUUGUAGUGUCUAUCAUACCAUGCUUUCUGUCCAUCUUUACACACCUCCUCCUGUCUAUGGUUCCCUUUUUUACUCCCACCUGUCCCCAUUCAUUUUUUUUCCUAGAUUCAGGCCAAAUUGCCAAUCUGAAGAAGUCUUUCCUGACAUACUCCACCACCAGGUAGAUUUAACCCCUUCUUUUUGUUCUCCCACUGUCCUUUGUUAAAUCUUCUGUCAUAGCAGUCUAAAAACUUAGCGCCCCUAUUUGUUAGCAUGUCCCUCUCCAUCUGCUAGAUGGUAGGUCUUCAAGGCAGAGACUGGGUCUUUAUACCCGUUCCAUGUUGGCUGGCUAGUUAACUGGUACUUAAAUAUUUUAACAAGCGGGUAAAGAAAAUUGUCACCUUUACACUUCUUCAUAUUCCCACUCCUCCUAAAUAGAGGUCAAAAUGGGAGGGAAGCUUUGAAAGGGAAAGAGAUUUUUUGCAGAUUUGCCAAGUAUCUGGAGGAAAUGCAAACUCUUUAGCUUUGUCUUACCCUGCCCUGCUAUUAGGUUAAAAGAAGUUCUGGGAUAAGAGAUUUAGUAUAGGAGGUCUUUGAUUGGAAAAGGUCCUUCUACCAGAUCAGGUUUGUUUUUUUUCUUAAAGGAAAGAAAGAAGAAAGAUCUUUCAUGAGGUUAUGGGCAUUGCUGGAUUAUGAUUUUUAACACUGGAUGAUCAAAAUAAGCUAAAACUGUCAAAAGUUAAUCUCUGACACUAGAAAUUACCUACCUAUAUAAGUUCAGGGAACUGCUGAAGGACAUGGUUACCAGGAUUGGAACUGCAUUGGAUUCUGUUAAUAUCAAGUCAGGUCACUGUUAUCACCUCUAAACUUGUAGGACAAAAGAUUCUUACACUCAGGAAAAUGAGAUGACAUUGGCAAAACUCCCUUCUAAGUUUUCUAGUUAUAGUUAGU
rnacentral:lncRNA from 10 species